AUAUGGUGGUGGUUUAAAUAGGCAAAGAGGACUAAGAGAUUGGAUAGGAAACAAGAGUCCAAAACACCUAGGACUCUAACUUAUUUUGUGCCACCCAUCCCAAUCAGGUUUUGCCCAGAUUUUUGCACGAGAGUAAGAGAGAAUUUUCUUUCUUUCUUACAUGCUAAAAGGAGGAUAAAAAGUAGCAUUAAAACUGGUUGGGCGUGGGUUGUUUUGGGCAUUGUAAUCUAGUUGGCG
rnacentral:lncRNA from 1 species